UACGGAGGAUCCAAGCGUUAUCCGGAUUCAUUGGGCUUAAAGGGUGCGUAGGCGGAAUAGUAAGUCAGUGGUGAAAGCCUACAGCUCAACUGUAGAAUUGCCAUUGAUACUGCUACUCUUGAGUGCAUUUGAAGUGGGCGGAAUGUGUCGUGUAGCGGUGAAAUGCUUAGAUAUGACACAGAACACCAAUUGCGAAGGCAGCUCACUAAACUGUAACUGACGCUGAGGCACGAAAGCGUGGGGAUCAAACAGG
rnacentral:rRNA from 1 species